UAGGGAAUCUUCGGCAAUGGACGAAAGUCUGACCGAGCAACGCCGCGUGAGUGAAGAAGGUUUUCGGAUCGUAAAACUCUGUUGUUAGAGAAGAACAAGGACGUUAGUAACUGAACGUCCCCUGACGGUAUCUAACCAGAAAGCCACGGCUAACUACCUGCCAGCAGCCGCGGUAAUACGUAGGUGGCAAGCGUUGUCCGGAUUUAUUGGGCGUAAAGCGAGCGCAGGCGGUUUCUUAAGUCUGAUGUGAAAGCCCCCGGCUCAACCGGGGAGGGUCAUUGGAAACUGGGAGACUUGAGUGCAGAAGAGGAGAGUGGAAUUCCAUGUGUAGCGGUGAAAUGCGUAGAUAUAUGGAGGAACACCAGUGGCGAAGGCGGCUCUCUGGUCUGUAACUGACGCUGAGGCUCGAAAGCGUGGGGAGCAAACAGG
rnacentral:rRNA from 1 species